rnacentral:tRNA from 1 species
CGCGGGGUGGAGCAGUCUGGUAGCUCGUCGGGCUCAUAACCCGGAGGUCCUUGGUUCGAAUCCAAGCCCCGCUA